GCAAAAAAAAAAAAAAAAAAAAAAAAAAACCCUAUUUCUUAAGUGCAUUACAUUUUACAUCUGCAACUAGUUCGCUAGUAAAAAUACAGUUUGACUUUCUAGUUUUAAUGUUUUAUCCAUAACUCAAUCCACAUUAAAAAGCUUAUAUGAUUAUAUGUUUGUAGUGGCAUAGGGCCGGUUACACUAAAAAUGAGCAAACUGGGCGUAUGUAUGGACAUGCGCGUGAAAUUAAUUUCUUCAUCACUAAAAAACAUGUGCCAUGGGAACGCAACGCUUAGGCUUACAAACAUGCCUAGACAACCGUAA
rnacentral:lncRNA from 1 species